AAUUAAUGAUCAAAGCCUAAGAGCGCCACUUCCUGUGGCAACGGCUUCGAGCCAAACAGCAGCCAAAAAGGC
rnacentral:sRNA from 1 species